rnacentral:rRNA from 1 species
ACGGAGCAACGCCGCGUGAACGAUGAAGGUCUUCGGAUCGUAAAGUCUGUGUUAGGGAAGAACAAGUACCGUGCGAAUAGAGCGGUACCUUGACGGUACCUAACGAGGAAGCCCCGGCUAACUACGUGCCAGCAGCCGCGGUAAUACGUAGGGGGCAAGCGUUGUCCGGAAUUAUUGGGCGUAAAGCGCGCGCAGGCGGUUCCUUAAGUCUGAUGUGAAAGCCCACGGCUCAACCGUGGAGGGUCAUUGGAAACUGGGGAACUUGAGGACAGAAGAGGAGAGUGGAAUUCCACGUGUAGCGGUGAAAUGCGUAGAUAUGUGGAGGAACACCAGUGGCGAAGGCGACUCUCUGGUCUGUUUCUGACGCUGAGGUGCGAAAGCGUGGGUAGCAAACAGGAUUAGAUACCCUGGUAGUCCACGCCGUAAACGAUGAGUGCUAGGUGUUAGGGGGCUUCCACCCCUUAGUGCUGAAGUUAACGCAUUAAGCACUCCGCCUGGGGAGUACGGCCGCAAGGCUG